rnacentral:rRNA from 1 species
AAUGAACGCUGGCGGCAUGCCUAACACAUGCAAGUCGAACGAAGGCUUCGGCCUUAGUGGCGCACGGGUGCGUAACGCGUGGGAAUCUGCCCUUGGGUUCGGAAUAACAGUUAGAAAUGACUGCUAAUACCGGAUGAUGUCGUAAGACCAAAGAUUUAUCGCCCAGGGAUGAGCCCGCGUAGGAUUAGCUAGUUGGCGGGGUAAAGGCCCACCAAGGCGACGAUCCUUAGCUGGUCUGAGAGGAUGAUCAGCCACACUGGGACUGAGACACGGCCCAGACUCCUACGGGAGGCAGCAGUGGGGAAUAUUGGACAAUGGGCGAAAGCCUGAUCCAGCAAUGCCGCGUGAGUGAUGAAGGCCUUAGGGUUGUAAAGCUCUUUUACCCGGGAUGAUAAUGACAGUACCGGGAGAAUAAGCUCCGGCUAACUUCGUGUCAGCAGCCGCCGUAAAAC